CCGGCACGGGUGAGUAACACGUAUGCAAUCCACCUGUAACAGGGGGAUAACCCGGAGAAAUCCGGACUAAUACCCCAUAAUAUGGGCGCUCCGCAUGGAGAGCCCAUUAAAGAGAGCAAUUUUGGUUACAGACGAGCAUGCGCUCCAUUAGCCAGUUGGCGGGUAACGCCCACCAAAGCGACGAUGGAUAGGGGUUCUGAGAGGAAGGUCCCCCACAUUGGAACUGAGACACGGUCCAA
rnacentral:rRNA from 1 species